rnacentral:lncRNA from 1 species
AUGGCGUUCCAUGAGAUGCAAGCACACAAGAAUGCACUUGGCACAUCUGGGGAACAGCAGGCAGCUGAUAUCACUGGGCCCACCCCGCACCAGGGAGGAUGGAAGCAGGUAGAGCAGAGCCGGAGCCAGGUGCAGGCCAUUGGAGAGAAGGUCUCCUUGGCCCAGGCCAAGAUUGAGAAGAUCAAGGGCAGCAAGAAGGCCAUCAAGGUGUUCUCCAGUGCCAAGUACCCUGCUCCAGAGCGCCUGCAGGAAUAUGGCUCCAUCUUCACGGGCGCCCAGGACCCUGGCCUGCAGAGACGCCCCCGCCACAGGAUCCAGAGCAAGCACCGCCCCCUGGACGAGCGGGCCCUGCAGGAGAAGCUGAAGGACUUUCCUGUGUGCGUGAGCACCAAGCCGGAGCCCGAGGACGAUGCAGAAGAGGGACUUGGGGGUCUUCCCAGCAACAUCAGCUCUGUCAGCUCCUUGCUGCUUUUCAACACCACCGAGAACCUGUACAAGAAGUAUGUCUUCCUGGACCCCCUGGCUGGUGCUGUAACAAAGACCCAUGUGAUGCUGGGGGCAGAGACAGAGGAGAAGCUGUUUGAUGCCCCCUUGUCCAUCAGCAAGAGAGAGCAGCUGGAACAGCAGGUCCCAGAGAACUACUUCUAUGUGCCAGACCUGGGCCAGGUGCCUGAGAUUGAUGUUCCAUCCUACCUGCCUGACCUGCCCAGCAUUGCCAACGACCUCAUGUACAGUGCCGACCUGGGCCCCGGCAUUGCCCCCUCUGCCCCUGGCACCAUUCCGGAACUGCCCACCUUCCACACUGAGGUAGCCGAGCCUCUCAAGGCAGACCUACAAGAUGGGGUACUAACACCACCCCCACCGCCCCCACCACCACCCCCAGCUCCUGAGGUGCUGGCCAGUGCACCCCCACUCCCACCCUCAACCGCGGCCCCUGUAGGCCAAGGCGCCAGGCAGGACGACGGCAGCAGCAGCGCGUCUCCUUCAGUCCAGGGAGCUCCCAGGGAAGUGGUCGACCCCUCCGGUGGCUGGGCCACUCUGCUAGAGUCCAUCCGCCAAGCUGGGGGCAUCGGCAAGGCCAAGCUGCGCAGCAUGAAGGAGCGAAAGCUGGAGAAGAAGAAGCAGAAGGAGCAGGAGCAAGUGAGAGCCACGAGCCAAGGUGGGCACUUGAUGUCGGAUCUCUUCAACAAGCUGGUCAUGAGGCGCAAGGGCAUCUCUGGGAAAGGACCUGGGGCUGGUGAGGGGCCCGGAGGAGCCUUUGCCCGCGUGUCAGACUCCAUCCCUCCUGUGCCCCCACCGCAACAGCCACAGGCAGAGGAGGACGAGGACGACUGGGAAUCCUAGGGGGCUCCAUGACACCUUCCCCCCCAGACCCAGACUUGGGCUGUUGCUCUGACAUGGACACAGCCAGGACAAGCUGCUCAGACCUGCUUCCCUGGGAGGGGGUGACGGAACCAGCACUGUGUGGAGACCAGCUUCAAGGAGCGGAAGGCUGGCUUGAGGCCACACAGCUGGGGCGGGGACUUCUGUCUGCCUGUGCUCCAUGGGGGGACGGCUCCACCCAGCCUGCGCCACUGUGUUCUUAAGAGGCUUCCAGAGAAAAC